rnacentral:lncRNA from 1 species
CCCGAUCCCCUGCGUUUCCCGAGCGAUCCUUCCUUGUGCGUCGGCGCCCCCAUCUUCUUCGUUCCCUCAACCGAUCCCCCUGCUGCGCCCCUGGAAGCAACGCCACCAACCUUCUUGCGCCCCAAGCAGCCGCCCCUGCCUGCACUAGCUCCUGCGGCAUCUGCACAGAUCUUGCUGCCCCGCAUCUUCCUACUCCCUGCGGCCAUCAAUGGAUCCGAGGCAAGCCCCUAAGGUUCGCAGGUCCUCGCUCAAGGCUGCAAUUGGUGUGAUUCCAGGAGGCCGACCUAGUUUUUGCCAAACAUCACGUGGAAACACCGUAGAUGGCAGCACCAUGUCACAACCUGUGCCCGUUACAGCACCUGCAUCUACAAAUCAUUCGACCCCCGGCAUUGUUGAUCCUGACUGGAUGUUACCUGAUUAUAG